UAUUUUAUCUUUUAAGUUUUAGAGUGUUGGGCCAUGUUUUGGGCUUAUGUUUUAAUACUUAUGCGUUAUUUUAGUGUGUGAUUGGGCUUGGGCCUUAAGUGUUUAAGUCAAACCCAAGAAGAGUGUUUAGGGUUUUAUUUGUUUUUCUCCUUACUAUAUAAGGAUAAGAAACAAUUGUAAGAGGCAGCUUUUAAUCAAACUUUUCAGAAUUUCUUUCAUGCCUUUAGCGUGUAUUGCUUUGAGUGAGAGUGAGGAUUUGCUUUCAUCAAUUGCACCAGGAAUCUUGGCUAACUUAUCAACUAUUCGUUGUGGCGUUUGUCGGAUUCUCAUCUAAAUCCUUCGAUCAUUGGUGUUUCAGCUUCUCUAAGUUUGGGGUGCCAUAGGAGGUGGGUUUAUAAAAUCUUUGGAUUCCGUAUCUACUUGUGCGUGUGGGUUUGAGGCUUGUGCCAUGGGGUUCCGCGUCAGUUGGUAUCAGAGCCAAAGUGAGGUAAAUUCUUAUUUAUCUCAGGAUCUAGAGUUUUUUUUUUCUGAGUUUUCCUUUUCUUCGUUAUUGAUUUCGGUGAAAGCUUUUGUGUCCAUGGCUGCACCUUCUUGAUUAUUAAUCAUCAAAAAAAGAAAAAUUCGAAAUCCAAAAAAAAAACGAAAAAAAAAGAACAAAAAAAUCGCCUUUGCCAUAUUUAUCUUGAUCUGACCGAAAUUGUGAUAUGCUUCCUUUUUCAUCCAUAUUUCCUUACCUAUCUCAAUUGAUUGCUGUAGUUUAUGCAAAUCAAUUUUGAAUUUUGAAUUGGGUUGAAUCCAGAUUAGGAGACAAAAGAAAUCUGCCUAUUUCUUAAGGUGCACAUUUAAGGCAAUUGCAUCUAAAUCGAUUUGGUGUCAAAUCCAUCUUUUAAUGCCCAUUUUCGUCCAUGAUGCUGCACUGAGUGAGAAAUAUAUAUAUAUAUAUUUUUAGUCUAUUUGUGGGGUUUUGAUACUUGCCUUUUUGGGUAGAUUUAAAUAGAUCCGUAUUUAAUUUGCGUUGAAGCGAAUUAAAUUCAAACUUUUGUCCAGAUUCGUUUUUAUUUGAUUUCUAAGUUUCUUUUUUGGUUUAAGCUUGCUUUUGCUUCCUUUACAUUGCUGGAGUAUUGUUUGCUUGUGUCUAUACUCUAGGUGAUAUUUUUCAAGUAGCACAAAACCUAGUUCAUGUGUUACUUUCCAAACUGUCAGUUUCUUCUUUCUAGUUUUUGCGCGCUUCCUUCUUUCUUUAGGAUUUCUUCUUUGUUUCAUUAAACGCACCUUAUGGUUGGUUGGUUGACCUUAGUUUCUGAAGUGCAAUUGAAGAAUCAGCAAAAGAAUGGUAAGAGUGCAAAUACUUGAGUAUUUCUUUAACACAAUAUUUGCCAGUUCUUUUUGUUCUUUGUUGAUUUAAGGUAGGAUGAGUAAAGACAAGAAUGUGGUGGAUCGUACUGAUGGAAGUGAAUCGAAUAUGGGUAAUGAUUAUAAGCUCUUUAAGAAGUCAGUCAGUAGUGAGUUACAAAGGCUCAAUAAGACUCUUGAGAGGUUGACUGAAACUAUGGAGAGUUUGAAUGUCUCACAAGCUUCCACUUCUACAAGAAUACCUCAAAAAACUCCUAAUUUGAAUAAUGACUGUAAUGAUUCGGAUGUGUUGGUUAAUAAUGUGUUGCUUGCUGCACAUUGUGAGAUGCUUGUUGCUAGGCGUGCUCUGAAUAUGCAGGUUAAGAAAGAAAGCCUAGAACAACGGGAAAACAUAUUUCACACUAGGUGUUUGGUUAAUGGAAAAGUGUGUACUCUCAUUAUUGAUGGAGGUAGUUGCACAAAUGUGGCUAGUGUGUAUAUGGUGAAGAAAUUGGGCUUGGCUUCUAUUGAACACCCUAAGCCAUACAGAUUGCAAUGGUUGAAUGAUUGUGGUGAGGUUAGGGUUACACGCCAGGUGGUUAUACCAUUUUCUAUUGGUAGGUACAAGGAUGAGAUAUUGUGUGAUGUGGUACCUAUGCAGGCAAGCCAUAUGUUGUUGGGUAGGCCGUGGCAACAUGAUAGAAAGGUGCAACAUGAUGGGUUCAAUAACAAGUACUCCUUCACUCAUGAAGGACAGAAGGUUAUACUCGCUCAUUUAUCACCUAAAGAGGUAUAUGUUGAUCAAAUAAAGAUGCUGGAGAGGGAGAGGGAGGCUUCGGCCUUGGCCACAAAGGGGAGUGAGAGCUUGAAUUCUGCGGAAAAGAUGAGAGAAAAGAGUGAGUUUGAGGGUAAAGAGGCUGGGAAAGAAUCAAGACUAGUUCAAGGAGGGAAGGUGGAGAAAGAAAAGGAGAAAGAAGAGGCUAAAGUUCCAAUCUCAACUUCCAUAGAGAUUGAAAUUGAAGAGGAAGUUGUAAUGCAUGAAUCUAAUGUAGUUGUUGUUGAGAAUUCCAUCAAUGAACUUAUAGAAGAGGUUGUGAAUGAUGAGGGACAUGGGGAGCACGUGAUUGAUGAGGUGGAGGAGGUGAACGAGACUGUUUUGGAAGUUGUAGAGGAGAAUGGGUCACAUCCACAAGAUCUUUCUAUGACUAAUAUUUUUAUGCCUAGUUCAUUUGUUCUUGAUGUGCAGGUUGUUGAUGAAAACAUUCAUGACGAAAGUUUUAUCCUAUUUCCACCUAUUCAAAAGGAGGUCUUUGAAGACACAUGGGUUCCUAAAGCUUCCCUUUUUGACAUAAAUAUCAGCAAGAUUCGAGGACGAAUCUUUUCUAAAGAAGGAGAGAAUGAUACGGAUUCAAUAGGGCAAAUUUCUAACAAUGGUGUGGAGCAAACUUAUGUCAUUCAAAUGGAUCUAAAAGGAGUUCAAAAUCAUAUUCAUAUGAUCCAUAUAUAUUUGGGGCGUGCUUCAACUCAUAUGGGACAGAUUUGGUGCAACACUUGCAAUCAUAGGCUUAGGGAGCCUAAUCAAACCUAUGGGCUAAAACUACACAAAGGGAAGCCUAAAGUGAAGAUCAAGUAAGACUUUUGUGAAGACUCAGCUUUGUUAUGAUGGGCUUGCUAUAUUUUUAUGAUUUAACACUUGUUUUAUUUUAGCUUUGUUUGGGCUUGUAUUCUGGCCAUAUUUUAUCUUUUAAGUUUUAGAGUGUUGGGCCAUGUUUUGGGCUUAUGUUUUAAUACUUAUGCGUUAUUUUAGUGUGUGAUUGGGCUUGGGCCUUAAGUGUUUAAGUCAAACCCAAGAAGAGUGUUUAGGGUUUUAUUUGUUUUUCUCCUUACUAUAUAAGGAUAAGAAAUAAUUGUAAGAGGCAGCUUUUAAUCAAACUUUUCAGAAUUUCUUUCAUGCCUUUGGCGUGUAUUGCUUUGAGUGAGAGUGAAGAUUUGCUUUCAUCAAUUGCACCAGGAAUCUUGGCUAACUUAUCAACUAUUCGUUGUGGCGUUUGUCGGAUUCUCAUCUAAAUCCUUCGAUCAUUAGUGUUUCAGCUUCUCUAAGUUUGGGGUGCCAUAGGAGUUGGGUUUAUCAAAUCUUUGGAUUCCGUAUCUACUUGUGCGUGUGGGUUUGAGGCUUGUGCCAUAGGGUUCCGCGUCACGGAGGCUUUGGAUCCUCGCCUAUUGGCUCUCACCGGCCUCUUGGCCAGCUCUACUCAAGAGCAGGUGGCCUUCUGGGCUCGGUCCAGAGAGCAGCUUAGGGACACUGCUAGGGAGAUGCUUUUGAUGGUAAGUCACGCUUGUCCCUUUUCUAUUUUUAAUUUUCUUUGAUCUUCCUAGGCUUUCUGACUUCAUUUAUUUUCCCCUUUUUGCCAGGCGAUGGGCGUUUUUAUGGAGAUAGACGCCCGGGAUCGCGCCCUCAGGGACUCUGUGGACCGCCGUAUAGAGGAGGCGCGUCUCGAGGAGAACUUGUUAGUGAGCAGCGAUGCCCAGAGCAAUCUUGUGGCUGCCCGAGAGCACUCCAGGUACCUCCAGAUAGAGCUACAUACUGCGUGGGAGGCCCUCAAGAGGACUGAUGGGAGGACAGCUGAGGCAGAAAAUCAGCUUUAAAGCAGUUGUCCUCCUUGGAGGAGAUCCGGCGAGAAAGGGAUGAGGCCAUGAGCCAGAAGGAGGGGGUCCAGCACCAGCACAAGCUGUUGAAGAUAGAUUUUGAUGCCGUGCAGGCUCAAAAGGAGGAAGCCCUAGCUCGGGUCGUGGUUCUGGAGCAAGAGCUGAGCAAGCAAGCUGACAGCAUUAAGGGCUUGACCUUGGCGGCAGAGGAGUCCAAACUUCAGAACCAACAACUCUGCCAACAAGUCAAUGCUUUAGAGAAGAGGUGCUCAGCCUUGCUCGAAGAUGCCAAGCUGGUUGAGGAUAGAGUCCAGCUGGAGUGCGAGGAGCAUCUAAGGGAGUAUAAGGAGUCGGCCGAGCUAAAAAAGGAGAUCCAGCAGGCCUGUGAAGCUUAUCUCCAAGAUUAUAAGGACUCUUCAGAGCUGAAAACCAAGAUAGCUGAGGCCUGCGAGGAGCGACUUGCGGAAUUCAAAGGCUCUGGCGAGAUGAAGACUGCUGUAUGGAAUAAGAGCUUCCGCAUGUUCGUCUCUAGAUACAAUCGAGGCCUGAGGACUGCCAGAUAUGCCCCUUCCACACCGUUAGCUGAACUCCGAGCCGCUGAGGAAGACUCUGAUGGCGAGGAGGUACUCUACGGGGAGGAUGACAGACCCUUACCCAAAGGGGCUUCUCGUGCUGUAGCUGGGCCUUCUGAGGCAGAUGUCGAGCUGGGGAAGGAGGAUGAAGGUGCUGGGCCUCAGGGGCAAGAGAUUGUCCCCUUUGUAGAUAUUAGUGUAGACAAUAGCAAUGUAGAUAUUGAUACACCUAGGCAUGUAAGUCCUUUAAGGACAGUUUUUCCUUCAGUAGAGUAGGUGUUUAGAAUAGGUUGUAAUUUUUGCUUUCCUUUUAAUGAAAUUCAGUUUUCUAAUUGUAUUUGUACUUGAGUUAUUUUCAUUUAUUUAUUUUUCUGGCCUUAUCGGAUUACUUAAUCUGUUAAAAGCUCAACUUACUUAAUCUGCCAAUGUGCUUAAGAGUAAUGCUCAAUAAUUUUUUCUAAGGAAUCAACCAUACUGUCCUUUAUUCCUUGCCCUUAAGCUAAUCAGGGCUGGAAAUUUAGCAAGAGACUUGACUUCCAACUUAUAAACUUUUUCAAUUUCACAAGGGCACUCUUAUCUGCAGGCCUUUUUCGAACUAGAUUUGCCUUAAGGAUAAAAAUUUUUAAGCUACGCAUUUAAUUAAUCUCCCGCAGGGUUCAAACAAAUCAGGUCUUCACCAUGAGUUCGAUUUUUAACAAUUGACUAAACUUCCAACUUACGAGUUUUUACAACCUCGUACAGGCGUUUUUAUUAUUUUCCAUUAUGUUAACUCGUCCACAAUGCGAGCUCAGACGUAUAACAUGCAUAUAACCAAAGUGAGAUGGAUCAUGUACCUUUUAAAGUGAUGAGCAGGGUUGGCCUUUUUAUUCUUAGUUCUAUUCUGAUAGGAACCGAGGCUGGGGCCUUGUCUGCUCAUGCCUUAGAUUUCCUCUUGGGUCAUAGGAGGCUUGUAGCUUUAGUUUGCCCUUGAGCUUUCUGAGUUCGGCCCUUUUCUUGCCUGCUUUUCCGGACUUAUAUUUGUGUGUCUCAGGUCGGUACUUUUGGCUUUACGUUGCUUUUGUCUUCUCAGCUCGAUUUUUUGGUGCCUGGAGAUCUUGGGGAUCCCGGUCACCUACCUCCCUGAGGUCUUAUCAUCUCAGCUCGGUUUGCGGUGCUAGGAGAUAUUGGGGAUCCUAGUCACCUACCUCCCUGAGUUCUUGUCAUCUCAGCUCGGUUUGCGGUGCCAAGAGAUCUUAGGGAUCCUGGUCACCUAUCUCCCUGAGGUCUUGUCAUUUCAGCUCGGUUUGCGGUGCCAGGAGAUCUUGGGGAUUUCGGUCACCUACCUCCAUGAGGUCUUGCCCUCUCAGCCAGUUUUGUGGCGCCAGGAGAUCUUGGGGAUCCCGGUCACCUGACUGAGGUCUUGUCAUCUCAGCUCGGUUUGCGAUGCCAGGAGAUCUUGGGGAUCCUGAUCACCUACCUUCCUGAUGUCUUGUCAUCUCAGCUUGGUUUGUGGUGCCAGGAGAUCUUGGGGAUCCUGAUCACCUACCUCCCUGAGGUCUUGUCAUCUCAGCUCAGUUUGUGGUGCCAGGAGAUCUUGGGGAUCCUGGUCACCUACCUCCCUGAGGUCUUGUCAUCUUAGCUCGGUUUGCAGUGCCAGGAGAUCUUGGAGAUCCUGGUCACCUACCUCCCUGAGGUUUUGGGCCUUUGUGCUUGUUUUGUUUUUCUUUUCUAUUUCUUUCAAUGGAAGCAAUGUAAGUUAUGACAAAUAAAGAAUUUGGACGAUUACAACGUCUAUUUUAUUACCAUGCUUUAAAAUACAAUCAGUCUUUUUACAUUUGAUGACAUCUUUUAGGGGAAGUACCUUUUUAAAUGCCGGAUAUUCCAAGCAUGGGGAUCAGAGUUUCUCUGCAUGUCCUCAAUUCGAUAUACCCCCGGUUUGACCACUUUUAUUAUUCUGAAGGGGCCCUCCCAAGUUGGUGCCAGCUUUCCUACUGCCGCUCUCUUUCCAGUAGCUUCCAGGUUUCUCAGGGCUAGAUCUCCUACCUUCAGGCUUCUUUCUCUGACCCUUUGAUUGUAGUAACGGGCCGCUCUUUGCUGAUAAGCGGCAGUACGGAUUUGAGCUUCCUCCCUAACUUCUUCCAGAGCAUCCAGGUUACUUAUUAACUUAUUAUCGUUGGUGCUCUCGCUAUUGAAUUGGACUCGAUGGGUGGGGACCUGCAACUCGAUUGGAACUACAGCUUCAGUGCCAAAUGCGAGUGCAAAAGGCGUCUCUUUAGUGGACGUCCUGGGGUUAGUUCGGAGUGUCCACAGGAUGCUGUUGAGCUCUUCUGCCCAAUUUGCCUUUGCCCCGUCCAGCCGCUUUUUCAGUCCCUGAAGGAUAGCUCUGUUAGUGACCUCUGUUUAGCCGUUGGUCUGAGGAUGGGCCACCGAAGAGAAUUUGUGCCAUAUGCCCAUAUUUGCUGUGAAUGCUCUAAAGGCACUGCAAUCAAAUUGUCUGCCGUUGUCUGAGAUAAGUACCCUCGGUAUUCCGAACCUGCAGAUGAUGUUGCCCCAUACGAAGUCUAUCAUCUUACGGGCUGUGAUUGUGGGGAUUGCCUCCGCCUCUGGCCAUUUCGAGAAGUACUCCACAGCCACCACUACAAAUUUCUUCUGCCCCGUGGUCUUGGGAAAAGGUCCCAGGAUGUCUAUUCCCCACUGUGAGAAUGAACACGGGCUGGAUAUGCUAGACUGGGGAGUGGCUGGAACAUUGAUGGCAUUAGCAAACCUCUGGCAUACAUCGCAUCUUCGGAUAAACUCUUCAGCCUCUUUUUUAACAGUGGGCCAGUAGUAUCCCUGCCUGAAUAUCUUGUUUGCUAGCGUUCCUGCUCCUUUAUGAGCUCCACACAUUCCCCUGUAUAUUUCUUCCAUCACCUUUAUUGCCUCCUCCGGGCUCACACAUCGGAGCCACGGGCUGGAUUUCCCCCUUCUGUAUAAAGUCCCCCUUACUGCUUGGUAAUUAGCGGCACAAGCUGCUAUCUUCUUUGCUUCAUCCUUGUCUUCAGGGAGCUUUCCCUUCUCCAGGUAUUCCAGGUAUGGGGUCAUCUAGCUCUGGCUUUGCUCCACCUGCAAUACAGUGGCCGUUUUGUCAAAGGCAGGUGUGCUAAUGUGUUGUACGUAUACCUCGUCAGGGAGUUGUUCUAGCUCCUCUUUAGACAAUCGGCUGAGCAGGUCUGCCUUUUCAUUCUCUUCCCGAGGUAUUCUCUGAUACCUGACUGUGAUUCCGCGACCCUUGAGCUCGGCUUCUAUGGCUUUUACCUUUGCCAGGUAAUUCUGCAUGGUAGGGUCUCUGGCCUGGUAUGCCCCAGUGAUCUGAUUGAUCACUAACUGGGAAUCACUAUUCACCUCAAGGUCGGUUGCCCCUAUCUCCAUUGCUAUCAGCAUUCUGUUUAUUAGGGUUUCAUACUCCACCACAUUAUUAGAGGCUUUGAAUUCUAGGCGUAGAGCAUAGCAAACCUUAAAUUCUUCAGGUCCUUUCAACAUUAUUUCUGCACCACUGCCCCCAGCGCCAGAUGCCCCGUCUACAUACAGCUUCCAACUGAAUUCUUGAGAGGACUGUCCUUCUCUCUCAUUCCCCAAUGCUUCCAAAGAUGACUCACCCCGUUCCAUCUGUUCUUCAUUGAACGAGCACUCUGCUAUGAAGUCAGCAAGGGCUUGAGAUUUUAUGGUGGUCUGAGGUCGGUACUCUAAACAGUAAGGGCUAAUCUCGAUGGACCAGGCCAGCAUCCGACCUGAGGUUUCCGGCCUGUGGAGAAUCUUCUUCAGUGGCUAGUCUGUCAUUACUACCCCCUGGUGGCUUUCCAGAUAGACCCUAAACUUCCGGACUGCUAGCAGCAGAGCAUAUGCCAUCUUCUCGAUGUUCAGAUAUCUGAUCUCGGCGUCUUUAAGCACCUUGCUGACGUAAAACACUGGUUUCUGUUCGCCCCCUUCUACUCUUACCAACACUGCACUGACUGCUUGCUUUGAGGCUGACAAGUAGAUCAGGAGCUCUUCUCCCUCCAAGGGACUGCUAAGUACAUGAGGCGAGCUGAGAUAGCUUUUAAGCUCUGUGAAAGCUUCUCGGCAAUCCUCAGUCAAUUCGAAGUUCGGCACUUUCCUCAACUUCUUAAAGAACGGCAAGCAUCUUUCCGCCGACCUUGACAUGAAGCGAUUGAGCGCUACCACUCUCCCAGUAAGUCUCUGGACAUCCCUCACACAGGUUGGCUCGGGCAUAUUCAGGAUAGCUUCUACUUUCUCCGGAUUGGGCUCAAUGCCUUUUCCACUCACCAUAUACCCCAAGAACUUUCCUCCCUUGAUGAAGAAAGCACACUUAGUCCGGUUUAGCCUCAUUCUGUACUGCUCUAGCACCUCGAACACCUCCCUCAGAUCCACCAAGUGCUGCUGAAAAGUCGGACUCUUCACCACCAUAUCAUCCACAUAUACUUCGACAUUCCUGCCGAUCUGAUCUUUGAAGAUUUUAUUCAUCAAUCUUUGGUAUGUUGCCCCGGCAUUCUUCAGCCCGAAAGGCAUGGCUUUAUAGCAGUAAGUCCCAUCUUCUGUUAUGAACGAGGUCUUUUCUUCAUUCGACCUGUCCGUUGGAAUUUGAUGGUAACCAGACAUAGCAUCCAAAGACGACAUGUAAUCAAAACUGGCCGUGGAGUCGACCAUUUUAUUAAUAUCAGGGAGGGGGUAACAAUCUUUGGGACAUGCUUGAUUGAGGUCUGUAAAAUCUAUACACAUCCUAUAUUUGCCAUUGGCUUUUUUUGACUAAUACAGGAUUUGCUAGCCACUGUGGGUACAUGACCUCUCUAAUAAAUCCUGCCUCCUCGAGCUUUUGUACCUCCUCCCUGGUGGCUUGUUGCUUCUCCCUUCCUACCACCCUCUUCUUCUGCUUCACUGGCCUAGCCUCUGGGAAGACAUUCAGCUUGUGUGUCAUCACUUCAGGGUCAAUUCCAGGCAUGUCAGAAGGCUUCCAGGCGAAGCUUGACGCGUGACCUCAGAUCAGGGCCAUGACUUCCGCUUUCUGCUCUUCAGUGAGGCCGGCGUUAAGACUGAAGACCUUAUCUGUCUCUGCUUCUGAUAAGGGAAAGGUCUCCAACUCUCUGACCGGCUCUGUUCUGGCCUCUUUUUUCUCAUCUCGGACCUCCAGAACUUCUGAGUCAAGCUUCUCCCCUGUCGAGCUCGGCUCUGAUACUGUGGCCAGGUACACUGCUCUUGCCUCUUCUUGGCUUCCUCUGACGACUCUCACUCUUGCCUCUGUUGGGAACUUCAUAGCCAGAUAUCUAAUGCUGGUUACGGCCUCAAAGUCAAAUAGCGCAGGUCUUCCCAAUAUUGCGUUGUAGCUCAGGGGAGUUUGGCUACUAAGAACACCGCAUAAUGAGUGCGGGUCCUUGGCGCUUCUCCUAGAGUGAGAGCCAGCUUUACUUUCCCCUCCACAGGCACUGGGACUCCUCCAAUCCCUUUGACUGGGGCCUGGUCCCAAACCAUUUGCUCCUCGGGGAUUCCCAUCUGCUGGAAGACUCUGUACGGCAACAAAUUCACCUUACUCCCGUCAUCCACCAAGAUCUUCUUAACCCGGUAGUUGUGGAUGAUGGCUUCAAUAACUAAGGCAUCGUCAUGAGGCAUCUGAACACCCUGGGCAUCCUCCGGAGAGAAGGUGAUGGUCACUGGAGAGUGCUCAACUACUUGCAUGACCUCGGCGAUGCAGCUUUCCCCAUCUCAACUACCUGCAUGUUUGGCCGCCGAACCUGCCUAUGGUGGCAUGUUUUGGCCGCCUAAACUCGCCCCCGAAAGUUGGACUUUCGGCUCUGGAAGGGACUUUCGGCCGCCGAAGGUGCCGCCGAAAGUGCCCUGUUCAGCCUUCCUUUGCAUGUUUUCUAUGAUUGUUUUGUGAUGUUUUAGGGAGUUUUUGGGGAGAUGUUUAGAGUCAUGUUAGUAUAUGUUUGGUCCCUCAUUUGAGUCCACCUGUGUAGGUUCGGACCCGAGGAACCGAGGACCCCAGCAGUGAGAUAGCUGCUUCAGAGUCUUUGCAGAGUCAGCCUGAGGUGAGUAGAAUGAAUCUUUAUGUUUCAAAGCAAAUAAAUUUUGAGCAUAUUCAUGCAUCAUGAAUGCCAUGAUAUAUACUAGGUUGCUUGCAUUAGAAAUCACGAAUAUGUUGCAUUGCAUUCUAUGAUGUUGAUGUGGAUGGAUGUUGGAUGACCCAUUAGCCCUCAAUAUGAUAUGAUGACGAUGAUACGGUAUGGAAGUCCAGUGAGGCCCAUUCUACGCCCCUAGCACGAUGUAAGAGAAAGACUAGUGAGGCCUCCUGGCACAUUGGAAUGUUAUGUUAUGAUAUGCUAAGAGAAAGACCAGUGAGGCCCAUUCUACGCCUCUGGCACCAUUGGAAUGUGUAGAGGGCUAUUAGUGACAAGUCCGUCCUUGAUGUGAAUUGUUUGUGAUGUGAUGUAUUCCAUGAAAGCAUAUGUUUUAAUAUAUUGUUUUACUAUUCUGCUCACUGGGCUCUAGUAGCUCACCCCUUUCCUUUAAUCCCCCAAGCUUGCAGGUUCAGAAUAGAUUGGGAGGUCAGCAAGAGUAGAAGCUUAAUGUAUGUAAUAGUUUAGUUGUGGACAUGAAAGAUAAUGUAAUGUAAGACAUUGUAUAGAUUUGUAUUGAGGAUUAGUAUUGUGCUUGACCCAAGAGUUUAUGGUUAAUCCCUUUGGUUCAUGAUCAUUGUGUAAUGUUUUAUGAAUGUAUUGUAAACCAAGCUUGAUGUAUGUAAUGUUGACCCAACUAGAUAUUAUUCUAUUCUGCUCACUGGGCUCUAGUAGCUCACCCCUUUCCCUUAACCCCCAGGUUUGCAGGUACAGGUUAGACCGGGGAGUCUUCCAGGUUGAAUUUGUGUGUAUGUAAUAAUGAGUCGUGGACAUGUAAUGUAAAAUGUUAUAAUGUGAUGUAAGGUAAAGAAUUGUAUUGAGGAUAGAAUUGUGCUUAGCCCUGUGUAUGUAAAUCCCUUCUGGUACAUAGUCUUUUUAAUGAAAUGAAUUAAUGAUGUUUUAUGUUAAUCAAGCUUGAUUAUAGUAAUGAUGACCCAACUAGAGCAUUUGAUGAGGGCUCUAGUAUGGGGUUUGUAUGUUUAAUGUAUAGUGCAUGCACAGGUUGAGCUUGGUGAAUGAAAAAGUUUAAAGCUUAUAUAAAUGUAUGAUCAUGUAUGGGAUUUAUCAGGUGUAACAGGUGGUAUGUUAGGCUUGCUACGGGUCCCGGCGACCUUAAGUCGAUCUGGAUCCUAGCGCCGGUAGCAAUCCGAUUUUGGGUCGUUACAGCUGCUCUCUCAUCUUCUGCAGCUUUUGGUCCACACUCUCUUCCUCUUGUCUGGGCCUUUUCUCCAGGCGACAUUCCUCCUCCCAUGCUUCACUUCCCGUUCUUCUGGUUGUCCAGAUGGAAUAACUAUCUGCCUCAUCAUUUUCUAUCAACUCCCUCACCCUUCUUCCAUGAACUCUCACCUCCGGUUCUUCUUCUUCCCCGGCCCUUCUUCUUCCUCCGAUUUCUCUGCUGUUUGUUAGGGAGUAGUUGAAGGUAGGCUGAGGUUCGUUGGUUCGGGGUUCUUCUACCACCGGCAACACAUUCAUUAGGGUGCUAAGGCCCCUCUGUUGCAUCACCUGCCUCAGCCAGUGGGCAGUGUUUUGUAGUUGAAGGGCUAUGGUUUGGAGGUCCUGGUUGGACAAGGCAGCUCCGGGCACAUUCCCUGCCAAGCUUGGCAAGGGGUUGAAGGGGAUUGGUGUUUGGUUGUUUAGAGUUGUGGGACUGGAAAAAGAGAACUGUUGCCCCUCUUAGGCAGAGCUCAGGUCAUUGGGAGUGUUUGCAAGGUUGUUUUCGUUAUGGUUGGCCAUUGUGGAUCUCAAUGGGUAUUGUAAGAGUGGAACUCCGGUGAUGACAAGAUCUCCUUCGUUUCCCACAGACGGCGCCAAUUGAUGAUCUGAAAUCCAGAAAAUAGGUGUAAUANNNNNNNNNNNNNNNNNNNNNNNNNNNNNNNNNNNNNNNNNNNNNNNNNNNNNNNNNNNNNNNNNNNNNNNNNNNNNNNNNNNNNNNNNNNNNNNNNNNNNNNNNNNNNNNNNNNNNNNNNNNNNNNNNNNNNNNNNNNNNNNNNNNNNNNNNNNNNNNNNNNNNNNNNNNNNNNNNNNNNNNNNNNNNNNNNNNNNNNNNNNNNNNNNNNNNNNNNNNNNNNNNNNNNNNNNNNNNNNNNNNNNNNNNNNNNNNNNNNNNNNNNNNNNNNNNNNNNNNNNNNNNNNNNNNNNNNNNNNNNNNNNNNNNNNNNNNNNNNNNNNNNNNNNNNNNNNNNNNNNNNNNNNNNNNNNNNNGCGGUCCGGUUUCCGGGUCGUUACAAUAGGGUUUUACAAGAGUUCUAUGAACUUAGAAAAUACUUAGUCCUAGAGAAGGAUGCCCCUCCCCCUUUUAUUCGUUUCUUUUGUCUGCUAGUGACGUAUAACAAACUUCUCGUCAUUGGGCCACCUGUCUCUGCCAUGUUGAUACGGACGUACAAAAAUAUCAGAUCUCUGCUCCAUGCGUAACGGCCAUUUAAUUCUCCCCUAGUGCGCAUGCGAACGGACUUACCAGGCGGAUGGGCUGGCCACCUUCCUUCCUCUAGGCUGGGCUGGUAGAGGAGAUCAAGACUGAGCUCAGAGGAGAUCUGAUCAUUAGGCUGAAAAGGCUGGGCCGGUCUGAUUGAGAAAUCUAGGUGGACCCCGGUCUUAAGGCUGAGCGGGCUGGACCUGGUUCAUGCGAGAGACUUGAGGGCCUCCAAGUAAUGGGCCGUCGUCAUGGGCCUGGCCUCAGAUCGGGAUGGAGAAAUCCAGCGGUCAUCAGUUUUUAGGAUCUAAAUUUUUUUAGAAAAAUUUGUCAUUCUACAUAAUCGGUUUAGGGCAUUAAUACAUUGAUAUUUUGGUGCAUUCUGACAAAUCAUCCUAUUUGAUGCGAUGACGUGGUGUUGUGGCAAAAAUGUUAGGCAGCUCAUUUAUAGUGGACAGUCGGCUAAUAAAAAUUGAACCGCUUUUGUCGAACCGCUUUUGUCGUAUCCUAUUUUAUCACUCACGUCUCGUCUGUCAAUCUUACUUAUUCAUACAAUAAUGAUUUCAUUAAGGAUCUAUGUGCUUUAAUGAAGUCGGUUUGCACGUUUUGUGCUUGAGUGAGGUCAAAUAUAUUGGAAGUUGAACUUGUAUUUCAUGACGGGUGGUCAUUCCCUAAUCUGGUUGAAUCGGACAAGUUAGUACGAUACUCUUCUCUUCUCUUUCAUGUAUACGUGUCGAUCUCAAAGUAUUAAUCAUUAUUAUUAUGUUAUAAUUUUAAAAAAAAAAAAAUAGAAAUUGAGAGAAUAAAACCUGAAACCUACCAGAUUUAUUCAGAUGCACUAAUCAUCAGGCUAAAUCUGUGAGUGCAGAUUCACAUUUUAUAUUAUUAUAUAUUACCAUUUUAUUAUAUUUUAAAAUAUUUUUAGCAUAUUAAUUUCUCAAUUCUAUGCAUAUAUAAUCAUCCUUAUAUUUUAUUAUUGUUUUCAUUUUCAUUAUUGAAAUUAGGUCAACUGGACGAUAAAUUGGAAUGUUUUUACACAUAUCAUAAUUAUAGCUAAAAAUAUUUUAAUUUUGGAUACUCUCAACUUUUGAAAUUGGAUGUAAUUAUAGUGAAAUUUUAAAAUUAAUUAAAAAUUCAAAAAUAAAUUACAACAUAUACAGUCCCUAAAUUUUAGUAAAACGUACAUUGUAACGAUCCGAAAUCGGACCGCUACCGGCGCUAGGAUCCAGAUCGACUUAAGGUCGCCGAGACCCGUAGCAAGCCUAACAUACAUCCUGUCAUACCUGAUAAAUCCCAUACAUGAUCAUACAUUUACAUAAAAACUUUAAACUUUUUCAUCUACCAAGCUCGACCUGUGCAUGCACUGAAACUGAAUACAUAAAACUCCCAUACUAGAGCCCUCAUCAAAUGCUCUAGUUGGGUCAACAUUACAUUAAUCAAGCUUGGUUUACAUUUCUCAACACAUUAAUAAAAACAUUUCAUAAUGAUCAUGAACAAAAGGGAUUAACCACAAACUCUAGGGUCAAGCACAAUACUAAUCCUCAAUACAAAUCCGUACAAUAUCUUUCAUUACAUUACAUUAUCUUUCAUGUCCACAACUGACUAUUACAUACUUAAAACUUUCACUCUUGCUGACUUCCUGGUCUAUCCCGAACCUGCAAACCUGGGGGUUAAGGGAAAAGGUGAGCUACUAGAGGCCAGUGAGCAGAACAUAUAAAACAGUUUAUAUAGAUAUGCCAUCAUGAAAUGCGUCACAUCACAAACAAUUCACAUCAAGGAUGGAUUUGUCACCAAUAACCCCCUCUUUCCUCUUUAUCAUAACAAAUUGCCAGGACGCGUGGCAUGGGCAGCCCUGGACUUUCUUACAUGGUGCCAGGACGCGUGGCAUGGGCAGCCCUGGACUUUCUUACACUGUGCCAGGACGCGUGGCAUGGGCAGCCCUGGACUUCCUUAUCAUACUGAGGGCUAAUGGGUCAUCCAAAAUCCAUCCACAUCAACAAUAAUUAAUGCAAUGCAUCAUAUUUGUGAAUUCUAAUGCAAAACAACCUAAUUCAUAUCAUGGCAUUCGUGAUGCAUGGAUCAUGCUAAAAACGAUUUCAUUGCUUUGAAAAUAAAAGAAGUUAUGUUCUACUCACCUCUGGCAGAUACUAGACUGACUCUGAAGCAGCUAUCUCACUGCUGGGGUCCUCAGUUCCUAGGGUCCGAACCUACACAGGUGGACUCAAAUGAGGGACCAAACAUAUACUACCAUGACUCUAAACAUCUCCCCAAAAACCCCCUAAAACAUCAUAAAAUAAUCAUAGAAAACAUGCAAAGGAAGGCUGAACAGGGCACUUUCGGUGGUAGGUUCGGCGGCCGAAAGUCCCUCUAGAGCCGAAAGUCAGGCACUUUCGGGGGCAAGGUUCGGCGGCCGAAAGUCUGUCUAGAGCCGAAAGUCACCAACCUUCGGCGGCAGGUUCGGCGGCGGAAACUCCACUCCAGAGCCGAAAGUCUAAACUUUCGGGGGCAAGUUUUGGCGGCCAAACCACCUUCACAGGCAGGUUCGGCGGCCGAACAUGGUUUUCGCAGCCGAACCUGAGUUCUUCCAGAAUAGCAGAACUCAAGCCUCUCACACACAUUCAGCCAACCAAACCUCACAACACAAACCAAAUCAAGCAAAAACAUGCAUAAACACAUUCUUAAGCAUUUAGGGGCUUAAAACUAACCUAUACCCCAACAACAUCAACAUUUAGCAUACAUUAAUCAUGCAUUUAACCUUAAACUACCAUAAACCCUAUCAUUUUACAACUAGCCUAAUUAUGCAUCUUUAUCCCAUAACCCUUCAUAACAUUUGCUUAAAACAUCAAAGACGGUGAGGAUCGACGCUUACCUCUUGAAGAUUGAGAGAAGGCGUGACCCAACUUGGAGAUUUGGGGAAAACGAGUUCUGGAGGUCUCCAAGCUUCACAACUUCGAUUUUGAGCUUGAAAACUUCAAAACAAGAUGAAAGCUUGUUAAAAGCUUGAAAGAUUUGAAGGAAAACAUUAAAACUAACCAUGAAAGGUAUGGACUCACCUUUGCCCGAAAAUGGAGAAGAAAACUUGCCCAUUUUCGGAUAUGGGGCCUUUUAUAGGUGGCUGGCCAGACCACCUUCGGGGGCCAAAGGUGCUCCCUAAACUUCACCAUGUUCGGCGACCGAACAUGAGAUUCGACGGCCGAACCUAGCUUUCCUUCCUUGGUGCUUUUUUUUCAAAAACUCAAUUUCUUUCUUACUUAAAACCUUAAAAACACAUGAAAACAUUUUAGAAAAACAUAUUUUACAUUUCUAGAGAGUUUCGACAUCCGAGAUUCCGCCGGAAAGCAGGAAUUCCGAUGUCGGGGUCUAGCCGGGUAUUACAUUCUCCCCCCUUAAGAACAUUCGUCCCCGAAUGUUCACCAAACUAGCAUAGCAUGGCAUAACACACAUAAACACAUAAAAACACACAGAUACUAACCUUAAAAGAGAUGAGGGUAUUGCUGGAGUAUAGACUCUCGUGUCUCCCAGGUACAUUCUUCUAUGUUGUGGUGAUUCCAAAGGACUUUCACCAUCGGGAUUUUCUUGUUGCUCAGCUUUCUGACCUGCGUGUCCAAGAUUCGUACUGGCUGCUCAACAUAGGUGAGAUCUCCUAGGAUCUCCACAUCAGGCUCACUAAGAACCUUGCCCGGAUCUGACACGAACUUUCGUAACAUGGAAACAUGGAAAACCGGAUGGAUUCUUUCCAUUGAUACAGGUAAGUCCAACUUGUACGAUACAUUCUGCAAGAUUUCAAAGGGUCCGAUGUACCACGGAGCUAGCUUACCUUUCUUCCCAAAACGAAUCACCCCUUUCAUAGGAGACACCUUGAGCAACACUGUAAUACCCGGCUAGAGUCCGGCAUCAGAAUUCCUGCCGUCCGGUGGAAUUCCGGGUGACGGAAGACUCUAGAAGGGUUUGGGUUAUGUUUUGAGAUGGUUUUGAAGAAGUUUUCAUAUUUUAAAAGCGUAAAGGAAAUGAGGUUUUGAAAGAAAAGCACCAAGGGAGAAAUGCCAAGGUUCGGCCGCCGAAGGUGACUUUCGGCCGCCGAACUUGCAUAGCUUCGGGUUUCACGUUCGGCCGCCGUAGUUGGUCUGGCCAGCCACCUAUAAAAGGCCCUAGGUCGGUCAAAUGGAUAAGUUUGCUUUCCAUUUCUCCAGACCCAGGUGAGACCAUGAUCUUCCUUGAGUGAGUUUUCAUGUUUUCUCAAAUCUUUCAUGGUUUUGAUGGAUUGUCAUGUGUUUUGAAGUUUUUUAGCAAAAGAGCAAAGUUUGGAAGCUUGGAGACUUUGAGAGAGGAUUUCUCCAUAUCUCCACGUUGGGAUCCUUUAUUCUCUUGUUUGAAAGAGGUAAGUGAAGAUCCUGAACUUCCUUUCUUGAUUUUUGAAGGUUUUAUGGGAGUUGUAUGGGUAGUUAUGCAUGUUUAGGGUAAAGGAGGUUUUUGAUGAUUUUUGUGUAUAAGUAUGUUUAAGUGUUGGUUGAUCUGUUUGUUUGAGGUUGUAGGCUAGUUUUGGACCUCUUUAUGCAUGUUAUAUGGUAUAUGCUAGUUCGGAGUAGUUGAUAUGCAUGUUGGGUACGUUUUGGGUAAAGUUUGCAUGAAGCAGAGCAGGUUUCUGCCCAACGGGCAAAACCAGAUUCGGCCGUUGAAGGAAGGUUCGGCCGCCGAAUGUGCUAAGGAGGUGGUUUCGGCUGCCUAAGCUUGCCUCCGAAAAUUGGGACUUUCGUCUCUGGAGGGAAGGUUCGGCCGCCGAAGGGGCCGCCGAAGGUUAGAGACUUUCGUCUCUGGAGGGUCUUUUAGCCCCCGAACCUUGCCCCCGAAAGGGUUCAGCCGCCGAAAGCAGGAGUUCGGCCGCCGAAGGUGCUUGAGUUUCGUCUCUGGACGGGACUUUCGGCCGCCGAAAGUGCCCUGUCCAGCUUUCUUUUGCAUGUUUUAUGUCAUUGUUUUAGGAUCUUGUAGAAGGGUUUUAGGGGGUUUCUGAGAGUUGUUCUUGAGUUAGUUUGGUCCCUCAUGUGAGUCCACCUGUGUAGGAACGGACCAGAGGAAUCAGGGAGGUCAGCAGUGAGCACUGCUUCAAAACCUGCAGAGUCAGUUCAGAGUCAGCUAGAGGUGAGUGGAACUAAACUUAACUAUUUUAAUAUGAGAACAUAACUGCUUUUAGCAUGUUUCAUGCAUCAUGAUGAUUAGGUUGAUUGCACUAGUUUCACGAAUAUGGCGCAUUGCAUACUAUGAUGCAUAUGAUGAUGUGGAUGGACCAAGGCGACCCCAAUAGCCCUAGCUCUGUUGUAAGACCUGGCCGGGCCAGGCUGAUACGGAUCCGAUAGGACAAAUUUCUAACAAUGGUGUGGAGCAAACUUAUAUCAUUCCAAUGGAUCUAAGAGUAGUUCAAAAUCAUAUUCAUAUAAUCCAUAUAUAUUUGGGGCGUGCUUUAACUCAUAUGGGACAGAUUUGGUGCAACAUUUGCAAUCAUAGGCUGAGAGAGCCUAAUCAAACCUAUAGGCUAAAACUACAUAAAGGAAAGCCUAAAGUGAAGAUCAAGUACGGCUUUUGUGAAGAUUCAACUUUGUUAUGAUAGGCUUGCUAGUUUUAUUAUUUAAACACUUGUUUUAUUUUAGUUUUGUUUGGGCUUGUAUUCUGGCCAUAUUUUAUCUUUUAAGUUUUAGAGUGUUGGGCCAUGUUGUGGGCUUAUAUUUUAAUACUUAUAUGUUAUUUUAGUGUGUGAUUGGGCUUGGGUCUUAUGUGUUUAAGUCAGGCCCAAGAAGAGUGUCUUAGGGUUUUAUUUCUUUUUCUCCUUACUAUAUAAGGAUAAGAAACAAUUGUAAGAGGCAGCUUUUAAUCAAACUUUUCAGAAUUUCUUUCAUGCCUUUGGCGUGUAUUGCUUUGAGUGAGAGUGAGGAUUUGCUUUCAUCAAUUGCACCAGGAAUCUUGGCUAACUUAUCAACUAUUCGUUGUGGCGUUUGUCGGAUUCUCAUCUAAAUCCUUCGAUCAUUGGUGUUUCAGCUUCUCUAAGUUUGGGGUGCCAUAGGAGGUGGGUUUAUCAGAUCUUUGGAUUCCGUAUCUACUUGUGCGUGUGAGUU
rnacentral:lncRNA from 1 species